rnacentral:lncRNA from 1 species
UAAGUUAAAAAAUAAAUUGUAAAGAUACUGGGUAUUUAGAAACCAAUUUCAUAAUCCCGUGAAAAUUUUCCUAUAUUUCUCUUAAGCUAGGGAAUGACAACAAUAUUAAAAUUUGCUGGGUUAAUAGUUGUUGUUGUUUUUUUUUUUUUUUUUUUUUUUAAGACGGAGUCUCGCUCUGUAGCCCAGGCUGGAGUGCAGUGGUGCGAUCUCCGCUCACUGCAAGCUCCACCUCCUGGGUUCAUGCCAUUCUCCUGCCUCAGCCUCCCGAGUAGCUGGGACUAUAGGCACCCACCACCACGCCCAGCUAAUUUUUUUGUAUUUUUAGUAGAGACAGGGUUUCACUGUGUUCGCCAGGAUGGUCUCGAUCUUCUGACCUCGUGAUCCGCCCACCUCAGCCUCCCAAAGUGCUGGGAUUACAGGCUGACAUAAAAUUUUAUUGGAAGACAAAAGAAAAGUGGAAUGAGCACACAUAUCAUGUUUUUGGAUGGUAAGAAUAAAAAUUGUGAAAGUGUCAAUUUUUUUCUAAAUCAUCUAUUAAUUCAAUGCAACCUCAUGAAAAAUUACAAAGGGAUUGUUUUAGUCCAUUUUAUGUUGCUAUAACAACACCACAGACUGGGUAAUUUAUAAUAAGCAGAAAUUUGUUUGGCUCAUAGUUCUGGAGGCUGGGAAGUCCAAGAGCAUGGUGCCAGCAUUUGGUGAGAGCCUUGGUGCUGCAUCAUCCCAUGGCAGGAGUUGAUAGGACAAGAGAGAGGGCUAGAGUAAGACAGGGAAGGUGAUCCAAAUGUAUUCUUUUAUCAGGAAUCCACUCUUGAGAUAACUAACCCACUCCUGCAAUAACUUCAUUAAUUCAUUUAUGUAGUGCCCUCCUGACCUAAUCACCUCUUAAAGGUCUCAUCUCUCAACAUUGUUGCACUGGGCUUUAAAUUUCCAACACAUGAACUUUGGGGGGCCACAUUCAGACCAUAACAGGGAUAUUUUAUGAAAUUUGACAAGCUGAUCUGCUAGUUUAUAUAGAAUGGAAAAUACACAGAUUAAUAAAAUAGAUUUAAAUUUCUUUUUUUUCUAGAGACAGGGUCUCACUUUGUCACCCAGGUGGGAGUACAGUGGUAUGAUCAUAGCUCACUGCAGCCUCCAACUCCUGGGCUCAGCCAGUCCUCCUGCUUCAUCCUCCCAAGUAGCUGGAACUAUAGGCAUACACCACCACAUCUGGCUAAUUAAAACUUUUAUUUUUUAUCUUUUUGGUAGAGACGGGGUCUUACUAUGUUACUCAGGCUGGUGUCAAACUUCUGGCCUCAAGUGAUCCUCCUGCCUUAUCCUUCCAAAGAGCUGGGAUUAUAAGCCAACUCACCUGGCCAAUAGAAAAGAUUGGCACCACUUUUAAAAUUUGAAUUUUUUGCCAACAAUAAAAAUUUGAGCUGGGCAGGGUGGCUUACGCCUGUAAUCUCAGCACUUUGGGAGGUCAAGGCAAGUGGAUCACAAGGUCAGGAGUUCGAGACCAGCCUGACCAACAUGGUGAAACCCUGUCUCUAUCAAAAAUACAAAAAUUAGCUGGUGUGGUGGCGCACGCCUGUAAUCCCAGCUACUCGGGAGGCCGAAACAUGAGACUCACUUGAACCCGUGAGGCAGAGGUUGCAGUGAGCCGAGAUCACGCCACCGCACCCCAGCCUGGGUGACAUAGUGAGACUCCAUCGCAAGAAAAAAAAAUUGAGGUUUAAUGCAGUGAUAUAAAUAAAAUAUGAUCAACAGUUCUGGAUAAAAUAUUUGCAAGCUACAUGGUUAAUAGAGAUUAUUAUUCAUAAUAGGUCAGGAGCUCAUACAAGUAAAAAAAGGAAAAAAGGCAGAAAGAUGGAUAAAAAUGGAAACAGUCAAGUGAUUCACUUAAAUCAAUCUACAUGUGAAAACAUUCUUAAUCUCGUUAGUAAAACAGUGAACACAGAUCAAAGUGUGUCCGGAAUUGGUUGUUUCUUGGUCUCACUGACUUCAAGAAUGAAGCCUUGGACCCUCACGGUGAGUGUUACAAGUCUUAAGGUGGCGCGUCUGGAGUUUGUUCCUUCUGACGUUCGGAUGUGUUCGGAGUUUCUUCCUUCUGGUGGGUUCGUGGUCUCGCUGGCUCAGGAGUGAAGCUGCAGACCUUCCCGGUGAGUGUUACAGCUUUUAAGGCGGCAUAUCUGCAGUUGUUCGUUCCUCCUGGUGGGCUCAUGGUCUCGCUGGCUUCAGGAGUGAAGCUGCAGAUCUUCCUGGUGAGUGUUACAGCUCAUAAAAGUAGCGUGGACCCAAAGAGUGAGCAGUAGCAAGAUUUAACUGCAAAGAGAAAAGAACAAAACCUCCACAGUGUGGAAGAGGGCCCAAGCGGGUUGCC